rnacentral:lncRNA from 1 species
CCCCCAGAAAAAGAGAGCUGACUGUAUAUUCUGCAACGUGAUAUGACAUCAUUAGGAAAAUAUUAGACUAGGGGUCAAUGGCCUUGAGUUUUGCCCCAGUCUUAUCUGAGUCUUACUUUAUUCAACCAAAGCUUCUCCCAGCUUGAAAAUACUAUGACUAGAUCUUCUAGAGUACCUAUUCCUAAAGGUGAGAUUUUGAAUUGAGGGAAUUUAAUGUAAAAUAAUUCGAGAUGUAGAAAUGAAUUCUAUGUCUCACUGAAUGUUUGAUUCGUUUCCUAACAUUUGCCAGAUGUCUAAAUGUGACUCACCAAAAGGAGUGUUUGGUAUUCAUAUUGACGAUGACUCUGUAGAGGAAGAAUUUAAAGGUCAAGCAUGAAGAAACAGAUUUAAGAGGCCUUAAUGUUUUUUUUUCUCUUGAUACCCAUCAUUUUGGUCCUUAUAGUUUGAAAAUAUUUGUUCUUUUCUUUUUGUGUGG